rnacentral:lncRNA from 1 species
ACUUUUAUACCCAGUGGAAAAUUUUUUCAAUGUAAAGAUGAACUGUACAAAAAGUCUAUGAAAGCAUGUUUUAAAUUACAACAAUGUAUGUCAUCGUCAAACCCUAGUGUUUCAACUUUACUUCAUUUAUAUGACCAUACUGUAAAACCAAUUUUAACCUAUGGAUGUGAAGUCUGGGGUAUGUUUUCUGUAAACUCAGCU